rnacentral:rRNA from 1 species
CUACGGGGGGCAGCAGUGAGGAAUAUUGCACAAUGGGGGGAACCCUGUUGCAGCAACGCCGCGUGGAGGAUGACGCAUUUCGGUGUGUAAACUCCUUUUAUAUGUCAAGAAAAUGACGGUAGCAUAUGAAUAAGCACCGGCUAACUCCGUGCCAGCAGCCGCGGUAAUACGGAGGGUGCAAGCGUUACUCGGAAUCACUGGGCGUAAAGGACGCGUAGGCGGGUUGGAAAGUCAGGUGUGAAAUCCUACAGCUUAACUGUAGAACUGCACUUGAAACUUCUAAUCUAGAGUAUGGGAGGGGGGGAUGGAAUUAGUGGUGUAGGGGUAAAAUCCGUAGAUAUCACUAGGAAUACCUAAAGCGAAGGCGAUCUCCUGGAACAUUACUGACGCUAAGGCGUGAAAGCGUGGGGAGCAAACAGGAUUAGAUACCCCGGUAGUC